AAAUAUUAUUACAUACAGUAAUACCCCGGACUUACGCGAUAGGUGGGACUGAGCGCUAUCCGCGUAAGUCGAAUUCGCGUAAGUCGGGGUACAAAUUUGCAUAUAAAGACAUACAAAGUAUGUUUAAUUGGGACUGGAGACUAAAUAAAACAAUAAUUUAGGAAAUAAUUAGUAUCUCAUUCUAGAUAAUAUGACAAACUAUAUUAAUAGAGUGUAUAAACGCAAUCCGAAGUUAGUUUGAUGUAGAAGGUUUCAUAAAUUGUAAUUACAUAGUCGUUUUCUUCUCCCGUAUAUCUCCUCGUAGCAUCCUAGUAAUUUUUUAAUUCCAUGUUUUGUAACAAAAAUGCGCUCUUCAUUGGAGUCUAUGCUUUCCAAAAUUGUUAACCCUUUUUCAAUCGAACUGAGGGCUUCUGUCAAGUUUCCAACUGUCAUUUGAUCUUCCAAUUAAACUGGAUCCAAAGAAUCAUGAUUAUCAAUUUCUUCCUCUUGUUCACGCAUUGAUAUGAGCUCACAUUUGUGACCACCUCAUUGUGUGAAUCCACAAGCUCUUGAACAUCAUCACUAUCCUACACAGUUUACAUCACUACACGUCUGUGCCUGUUGUAAACUGAACGAAUAAUAAUGCGGGGGGGGGGGGGUCAGAAACAAACGCCGCCGCUUGACUUUAACUGCGCGGCGUUCAAA